UACGGAGGGUGCAAGCGUUAUUCGGAAUCAUUGGGUUUAAAGGGUGUGUAGGUGGUUAUAUAAGUUAACGGUGAAAGUUUAGUGCUUAACAUUAAAAUUGCCGUUAAAACUGUAGAACUAGAAUAAUGGAGGAGUAAUUAGAAUUUAUAGUGUAGUAGUGAAAUGCGUAGAUAUUAUAAAGAAUACCAACAGCGAAGGCAGGUUACUAUUCAUUUAUUGACACUGAGACACGAAGGCGUGGGGAGCAAAU
rnacentral:rRNA from 1 species